UACGGGGGGGCAAGCGUUGUUCGGAAUUACUGGGCGUAAAGGGCUCGUAGGUGGCCAACUAAGUCAUACGUGAAAUCCCUCGGCUUAACCGGGGAACUGCGUCUGAUACUGGAUGGCUUGAGGUUGGGAGAGGGAUGCGGAAUUCCAGGUGUAGCGGUGAAAUGCGUAGAUAUCAGGAGGAACACCCGUGGCGAAAGCGGCUCUCUGGGACGGUACUGACGCUGAGACGCGAAAGCGUGGGGAGCAAACAGG
rnacentral:rRNA from 1 species